rnacentral:rRNA from 1 species
GUGCCUUCACCUGCAAGUCGAGCGGACAGAUGGGAGCUUGCUCCCUGAUGUUAGCGGCGGACGGGUGAGUAACACGUGGGUAACCUGCCUGUAAGACUGGGAUAACUCCGGGAAACCGGGGCUAAUACCGGAUGGUUGUUUGAACCGCAUGGUUCAAACAUAAAAGGUGGCUUCGGCUACCACUUACAGAUGGACCCGCGGCGCAUUAGCUAGUUGGGGAGGUAAGGGCUCACCAAGGCAACGAUGCGUAGCCGACCUGAAAGGGUGAUCGGCCACACUGGGACUGAGACACGGCCCAAACUCCUACGGGAGGCAGCAGUAGGGAAUCUUCCGCAAUGGACAAAAGUCUGACGGAGCAACGCCGCGUGAGUGAUGAAGGUUUUCGAAUCGUAAAGCUCUGUUGUUAGGGAAAAACAAGUACCGUUCGAAUAGGGCGGUACCUUGACGGAACCUAACCAAAAAGCCACGGCUAACUACGUGCCACCAGCCGCGGAAAUACGUAGGUGGCAAGCGUUGUCCGGAAUUAUUGGGCGUAAAGGGCUCGCAGGCGCUUUCUUAAGUCUGAUGUGAAAGCCCCCGGC